rnacentral:tRNA from 1 species
GUGGCCGUAGCUCAGUGGUAGAGCUCCUGCCUCGUACGCGGAGAGACGUGGGUUCGAUUCCCGGCUGCU